AGCCAGUGCCAAGUGAUGGGUAUCUCUCGGGACAACUGGCACAAGCGCGGUAAAACCAGGGGCAAGAGAAAGCCCUACCACAAGAAGCGGAAGUAUGAGUUGGGGCACCCGGCUGCCAACACCAAGAUUGGCCCCCGCCGCAUCCACACAGUCCGUGUGCGGGGUGGUAACAAGAAAUACCGUGCCCUGAGGCUGGAUGUAGGGAAUUUCUCCUGGGGCUCAGAGUGUUGUACUCAUAAAACAAGGAUCAUCGAUGUUGUCUACAAUGCAUCUAAUAAUGAGCUGGUCCGUACCAAGACCCUGGUGAAGAACUGCAUCGUGCUCAUCGACAGCACACGGUACCGACAGUGGUACAAGUCCCACUACACACUGCCUCUGGGCCUCAAGAAGGGAGCCAAGCUGACUCCUGAGGAAGAAGAGAUUUUAAACAAAAAACAAUCUAAAAAAAUUCAGAAGAAAUAUGAUGAAAGGAAAAAGAAUGCCAAAAUCAGCAGUCUCCUGGAGGAGCAGUUCCAGCAGGGCAAGCUUCUUGCGUGCAUUGCUUCCAGGCCGGGACAGCGUGGCCCAGCAGAUGGCUAUGUGCUAUAGGGCAAAGAGUUGGAGUUCUAUCUUAGGAAAAUCAAGGCCCAGAAAGGCAAAUAAAUCCUCGUUUUGUCUUCACCCGUGUAAUAAAGGUGCUUAUUGUUCUGUUCCCACAAAAAAAAAAAAAUACGAAAAU